CAGGGGGCAGCUGAGAGGGGCGUCGGGCGCCCGCCCACCUGGCGCCCCGGCCCCUUGAGUGUAAGGCCAUGGACGCAGGCUUUGCUGUGUCUAGGGCGCUGCUUGACGGAGCAUAGUAAACGUUUGUUGACUUGAUAGCUGACUACCCCAAUAUUUUGGAUCUUCACAACUACCGUGCGCGGCCGAAAUUGUUGUGUCCCUUUUCCAGAGGAGGAAGCCAGGCUCCGGGAUGAGGCCAGUGCCCAAGGACUCACAGCCGAAAGGCGCUGGAGCUCCAAGCCUGUGGGCAGUGGGGCACCACCCACCAAGUGAGGGAAGGCGAGACCGCCCAGCGCGGAGAGAAGUCUACCAGAUCACCAGCCUCUCUCGUUCCUUCUUCAUUCAGAGCACUGGAAUUAAUCAAAAAAGAAAACAUGAUGGUCAUGGGAGAGGAAGUUCACAGAGUCAGAGCACCCCAGGAAAACAUGAAUCAUGAACGACCUGAUGGGAUCGUGAAGGCAGCUUUGGGGAGGAGAAAGGACAGAGGAUUCCAGGCAGAAGAUCCAGCAAGUGCAGGGGCUGAGGUGUGGAUGAGCCUGCCUUGUUCGAGGAAUGGGAAGUCUAGACUACACUUCCCAACCUCCUUUGCCAGUAUGAGCCAACGGAAUGUGGAUGGAGCGGAUGGAGCACUCCAUAAAAGCUUCCCCUGUUGGACGUCAUCUGCUCACUGCUGCCCGAGGUCUGGGCUGGCAGACCAAGACCCAAGCGCUUUCUCCAGGGAUGUUCUAGUGAUGAGAGCAGAGGGCGAUGACGUUAUUUUCAGAAGCCCAAGAAAGCUUUGCUAUGGAAUGUAACAUUUUUUACAGUCUGAAGGCCAUGAAGUGUCCAAGCUAAGGCUUCAGCAAUCGGGUACCUUCACAGAAGAAUGGCCAUUGGCGGUUGGAAGGGAAGUAGCUGGCGUCUGCGUGUUCCCAGGUGGCGUUUCAAAAUGGUGUUCUCAAAAAUGUUGCUCUUGGGGCAUUUUGUCCUCUCUUAGCUCCUCUUCAAAAUGUCACUCUCAGUUGCAAUCCAAAAUGUCACUCACAGUUGCACCACCAUCUGGGCUGUGUGGGUCUUUUUAAAGGACUCCAGUGAUCCAGUUAAGACCACCCUGAAUGGGCAGGGCAACACCCCAUGGAAAUUACCCAAUGAAAGGUGAUUGAGCCACAUCUCCCUGGAAACAGUCGAAGAAUUCCAAUCCAGUCAACACCAGUUCUUCUGCCUCCACAAGACUGCAUCAAAGAUAAUGGCAUUUUGGGGGCCAUAAUAUAUCCAAACUGGCACACCUACUCAAAGGUAUCAUUAGAGCCUAGAUCUCACCUUAGCUUCUGAUUUAUAUUUUCAAGAGCCUGAGAUAGUUUUAUGAAAUUUUUUAUAGGCACUUGUUCCGGUUUCUAAUGCUGCCAUUAUGCAAAACACCAGAAAUGGAUUGGCUUUUAUAAAGGAGGUUUAUUUGGUU